rnacentral:RNase_P_RNA from 1 species
GCGGAGGGCCGGAUGGCCGCAGGGCCCUGGCCCUGAGGAAAGUCCGGACUCCGGGAAGCGACGGUGCCGGGUAACGCCCGGGCGGGGAGACCCGACGGAAAGCGCCACAGAGAACAGUCCGCCCCGGUUCACCCCGGGGUCAGGGUGAAACGGUGGGGUAAGAGCCCACCGCGCCGCUGGCAACAGCGGCGGCAUGGCAAGCCCCACCGGGAGCAAUGCCGAAUAGGACCCCCGCGCGGGACUGGUCCCGGAUCUCGGUCCGGGAAACCGCCGCUAGGCCUGCUUCCGCCGAGAGGGGUCGGGUUGGCAGCACGAGGCGCAUGGCGACAUGCGUCCCAGAGGAAUGGUCAUCGACGGGGGCGACCCCUGAACAGAAUCCGGCUUACAGGCUCUCCGCGCAU